GAUGAACGCUGGCGGCGUGCCUAAUACAUGCAAGUCGAGCGAACAGACGAGGAGCUUGCUCCUCUGACGUUAGCGGCGGACGGGUGAGUAACACGUGGAUAACCUACCUAUAAGACUGGGACAACUUCGGGAAACCGGACCUAAUACCGGAUAAUAUAUUGAACCGCAUGGUUCAAUAGUGAAAGACGGUUUUGCUGUCACUUAUAGAUGGAUCCGCGCCGCAUUAGCUAGUUGGUAAGGUAACGGCUUACCAAGGCAACGAUGCGUAGCCGACCUGAGAGGGUGAUCGGCCACACUGGAACUGAGACACGGUCCAGACUCCUACGGGAGGCAGCAGUAGGGAAUCUUCCGCAAUGGGCGAAAGCCUGACGGAGCAACGCCGCGUGAGUGAUGAAGGUCUUCGGAUCGUAAAACUCUGUUAUUAGGGAAGAACAAAUGUGUAAGUAACUAUGCACGUCUUGACGGUACCUAAUCAGAAAGCCACGGCUAACUACGUG
rnacentral:rRNA from 1 species